rnacentral:rRNA from 1 species
AUUGAACGCUGGCGGCAUGCUUUACACAUGCAAGUCGAACGGUAACAGGCCGCAAGGUGCUGACGAGUGGCGAACUGGUGAGUAAUUCAUCGGAACGUGCCCAGUCGUGGCGGAUAACUACUCGAAAGAGUAGCUAAUACCGCAUACGAUCUAUGGGUGAAAGCGGGGGACCGUAAGGCCUCGUGCGAUUGGAUCGGCCGAUGUCAGAUUAGGUAGUUGGUGGGGUACAGGCUCACCAAGCCAACGAUCUGUAUCUGGGCUUAGAGGAAGACCCGCCACACUGGGACUGAGACACGGCCCAGACUCCUACGGGAGGCAGCAGUGGGGAAUUUUGGACAAUGGGCGCAAGCCUAAUCCAGCAAUGCCGCGUGCAGGAAGAAGGCCUUCGGGUUGUAAACUGCUUUUGUACGGAACGAAACGGCUCUGGUUAAUACCCGGGGCUAAUGACGGUACCGGAAGAAUAAGCACCGGCUAACUACGUG